rnacentral:siRNA from 1 species
UGCACUUUGGCAAAUGCAUAUGC